rnacentral:lncRNA from 1 species
UCGGCGAUGGUUUGCGCAUGCGUGUUGGCGCCCCUACUGUAUAGGUUGGUACGCGUGGGCGGGUCGAGCUCUUUGUCAAUAGAACUUGAAAUACGGCAGUGCACGAGCUUAAAUGAAACCACAUAAGGUUCUAGACUGCAAAACACCAACAUUAGUCACGUGAUGCAACACUACAGUCUCGGCCGCCGGAGUCUGAACGUGUAUGAUACCUGAACGUUUCUUGCGCAGCUGAGCCAAGGUCGCCCCGCGCAAGCACUCGCAGAGCAACACUCCUCCAAAUUCGCCACACAUAUCGCGUUCAAAAACGUAUUGGCGGCCGGACCUCGGACAAACACGUUCCAUUCCUGAGUGACUCCCUGGACGACACUCCUCAAAGAGCAAGUCACCUGAAGUGAAGUCUGAAAUCGACACAGACUUUCGCCAUUUUUCAAGUUCAGGUGCUAUACGUUUCUUUCUCUCCCUUUUCCCUCCCUUCCUUCCACCCUAUCACUCCCAAUCUCCGGCUCUCUCCCUCCCUCUCUCCCUAACUCUUCCUCACUCUCUCUCUCUCUCUCUCUCUCUCUCUCU